rnacentral:lncRNA from 1 species
GGCGGUGAAUGCCCUCGGAAAGCCUGCAGCCCUUCCCAUUGCAAAACAGGCGAAUUUACCUCGGUCACUGCGUGCACUGACGCACUGGAAACGGGGGUUUCCCUCUGUCACACGUGCGCAGAUCUAUUCCUUUUUUAUUUUUUUCCAAGACCACCAGUCCAGUUGCCCUGAACCUGCUCAUAGUAAUUCACAUUAAUCACGACAAUUCCAUCAUCUUGUAUGUAAUGUAUUCAACUUGUAUCCAUUAUUGUGGCAUCUAAGUAGUCCCCAAUAUUUAUUUCUCAUCAUAGCAGUUUGAAGAGAGAUAGAAGAGUUUCCUUUCCCAUGUCAGAGGAGGGAAGUUAAGGCACAGGCAAAUUAAAUGCCAUGUCUGUAGCUACACAAAAUGUUGGACAGGUCCAAGUCCCUAAAAAUUAUAUACUGAAAUAAUGUACUGAAUUCCUCUACUCCUCUCUCUGUUGAGAGUUUUACAUAUAGCAAUAAUGAAGUUUAAUGUGUUUAUUCGUAAAAGAAAUGUAACUCCAAAGCCACAAACGUUAUCAAAAUACAUUCAUUUUGAAUUUCAUUUCUAGAUUCUUGUUGCUGUAAUUCAAGUUCAAUGCCUGACCACAGGUAGUACAUCAUGAUAAUGGUAAGAGUACCUGAAUGUCAACACCUGGUUAGCCCAUAGCAAACAGAAGGAACAGCAGUGGGAAUGCAGAAAACAGCAACGUGUUCUUGUGUACAGGAGAUACACUCCCUGUGCACAGCACACAUCUGAAACACAACUCCAGUGGCAGAAACACAAGGAAGAUACCAUGGAUAUUUUAUUCAGAAACUUCUGACCACAUCCCAGUUCUAAUCUUCUGGCUCUUUGUUUUCAGGAAGUUAUCACCUGAAAUCUCAUUUCCUUAUUUUCGUUCUCUUGUCCAGAGCAAUUUGUUAAGCACAGAGCAAUUUCUCAUCAGAUAUCUCCAAAGUACUUCCUCUCAAACCAAUCUGUCUGAAGUUCUCAGUGCAGCCAAGAAACCACACACCUUCACAAGUAUUCCAGUGCUGAUUGUUUCAAUCCAUUGAACAGAGACAAGGAAUUUAGCAUUUGCUGGGACCAGUGGAACCAUUAGUGCCGCCAUAACUAUUGGAACCAUCGGCAGGAACCGUGGCUGAAUACAGACUACAGGC